rnacentral:rRNA from 1 species
UACCAGCACCCCGAGUGGUCGGGACGUUUAUUGGGCCUAAAGCAUCCGUAGCCGGUUCUACAAGUCUUCCGUUAAAUCCACCUGCUUAACAGAUGGGCUGCGGAAGAUACUAUAGAGCUAGGAGGCGUGAGAGGCAAGCGGUACUCGAUGGGUAGGGGUAAAAUCCGUUGAUCCAUUGAAGACCACCAGUGGCGAAGGCGGCUUGCCAGAACGCGCUCGACGGUGAGGGAUGAAAGCUGGGGGAGCAAACCGG